AGUCCCACUGAGACCUCUGGAAAAAGCAAGAGGAAAAAAAGGAGAAGUGAAGGAAGACACAAAAAUAAUUGGAUGGGAAUUAGAGACUUGAAAUAACUCCUCAAAAUUUAUCAAUCCAAAAUUCUGCUGGAACAGCUGAAAGUCCAAUGAAAAAUGGUAAUACUGACAGCGUUUGACAAAUCACUCAGG